GGAGGAUUUUAGAUAUCUAUAGGAGCUCUUUGAGUCCAGAUAUGGUCGAAGCGCUUAUAUGUACUCAAAACUGGUUGAAGCCUUCUGACAAUGAUCUAAAUGUCCUUAAUAUGACUGAAGAAUAUGAGAUUAGUGAAUCAAUUGUUUCAGAGUUUCAAGUAGCUACUGGUGGAGCAGCUGCUCCUACACAGGCUGGGCCUAUUUAAUUCUCGCCUAGCUGUGAAUUUUUGAAUAUUUUGGAGUCACUUUGUGAUUCAAUAAGACAAGCCUUUCUUUUUUGGAGUCAUUUUUUGAAACUAAGGAUGGAACCGUUUCAGUAGCUACUGCGUUUGCUGGUCAUCAGGAAGACUUUUUGGGCAGCCACUGCUGCUAGUUUCAUAACAAUUCAGUGUUCGAAAUGUUACAUUUUUUUGACUUGGGGAUUAACAAAUCUAUAUUCAUUAAGCCCAAGACAUUUCACCUUACAGUACUAAUGCUUAAGCUGUGGAAUAAAGACAGAGUGGGGCAUAUCAAGAGGAGACUGAAUAGCUCAAGCUUCUUGCUGAAUGGAAGAGAAAGAAAGGUGGAUUCAGAGCUACCAUGUUUGUUUUUGGAAACUUGGUGGCGGCUCAAGUUGCGACAGAAAUCGGUUGGAGCGAGUUUGCGAUUUCAAUGUUUUCACUAGGAAUGGUACAUUAUUUGCAGGCCAGGACUGUUCAAGAAAACUAUAAAAAGAAAGCUGCAAUAAAGAAGAUGGACAUGAAAGCAUCAAAAGAAUUUUUUGCCGAGCUUAAGGUGUUAACGCGUGUUCAUCACUUGAACUUGGUAAGGUUGAUUGGAUAUUGCAUUGAAGGUUGAUUGGAUAUUGCAUUGCCGGAAUGGACUUGUCUCUUACAAUAUUGAAAAAUGCACACACUGCUAGAGAACUAAAAUGCACGCCAAAAUUGGACUAUACUUUUGAAUUAGUAACUCCUGCAACUGCACAACCUUGGUUUUUCACAAGUCUCACCGAUGUAUUGGACGUUGUUUCACAUGUAAUCUUUUCCAUCGAUCUUUUGUAUUUACUUUAAUCCACUUAAUCUAUU